UGUUACUAUCGUUUUAUUAACUUUUUUUAGGGUCUGUUUGGAUGAGGUUGGAGGAGGUGUAAACAAAGGGAAGGAGGGUAAGCGAUUUAUGUACCUUUAAAAAAGGUUGAAUUAGUGGAUUAGUGGAGGGUAAGUCUAAGUGUAAGUCCUCAAAUCUCCAUUUGUCAUACACGUGUAUAGGGAGCCAAACAAUUUUAUUUCUUUCACCUCUCAAAUUUAUCCUUACUACACCUCUUCCCAAACACCUAAUUUAUUAUAAACCUCCUUACCCUUCCAUUAGUAACCCUAAGACCCUUUCCUUAGUUGUAAUUUCUGUUAUUUUUUUUGUGGGCUUAAUGGUUCAGUAGUAAAUUUACGAGUCUAUGCCUUUGCGAGAUCAUUACUAUACUGGGGUGAAUAACUGAUGUAGCUUCUUAUUGUUUUAUGAUGUUUGGAUGAUAAGAAGCGUAGAAAAGUUUUUUUACCAGUAAAAUAAAUAGUUUUUGUGGAAUUAAUUAUCUUCACUUGUUAAUGGACCCGUAGAUGGUGCGUCUAUUUCUGUUAUGACCCUUUAUAAUGAGGUCCAUGUACUUAUAAGUUGAAUUUUCUAGGACCAAUGGAGCUUAUAUGCGCUGUGCGCAUUAUAUAUUUUUUUUUUAUACUGAUGUUAAUAAUUUGCAUUGCAUCUUUUUUUGCAUCUAAUUGCAGG
rnacentral:misc_RNA from 1 species